UACGUAGGGUGCAAGCGUUGUUCGGAAUUACUGGGCGUAAAGGGCGCGCAGGCGGCCCUCCAAGUCAGGCGUGAAAGCCCCGGGCUCAACCCGGGAAUAGCGCUUGAGACUGGGGGGCUUGAGUUCGGGAGAGGAGAGUGGAAUUCCCAGUGUAGAGGUGAAAUUCGUAGAUAUUGGGAAGAACACCGGUGGCGAAGGCGGCUCUCUGGACCGACACUGACGCUGAGGCGCGAAAGCGUGGGGAGCAAACAGG
rnacentral:rRNA from 1 species